AAACACAGAUUGUUAGCCUGAAAUGGCAUAGGCUGGUGACUUUUUAGUCACCAGCCU
rfam:Paraglaciecola psychrophila 170 chromosome, complete genome.